CAAUAGCGUAUAUUAAAGCUGUUGCGGUUAAAAAGCUCGUAGUUGGAUUUCUGUCAAGGACAACUGGUCCGCCCCUCGGGUGAGCACAUAGUUUGGUCUUGGCAUCUUGUUGGAAACUGUUGCUGCACUUGGUUGUGUGGCGCAGUGUCCAGCACGUUCACUUUGAGGAAAUUGGAGUGUUUCAAGCAGGCACAUGCCUUUGGACACAGUAGCAUGGAAUAAUUAGAUUGGGCUUUUGCUCCAACUUGUCGGUUUCUGGAGCUGAGGUGAGAAUUAAUGGGGAUUGUUGGGGGCAUCCGAAUUUAGCCGUCAGAGGUGAAAUUCUUGGAUCUGCUAAAGACGGACAACUGCGAAAGCGUUUGCCCAGGAUGUUUUCAUUGA
rnacentral:rRNA from 1 species